AUUUAUAAAAUUCUAUUUAAUCUUUAACGGACACAAAUUGAACUAAAGCGGUUUGCGUUUUUGGAUAUUUAUCUUCCCUGUUUAUAGAGGGUUACACAGUAAUAAUAGAAUAGUAAGACACGUAGAGCGAAUUACGCAAGUAAAAAUGCUGUUCAUGCUGGGCGUGACUUUGAUCCUCUUCACGGGCGUGGUUACCGGCUAUAUAGAGAUACUGAGCGGUGACUUCUACAUAGAGGGUGUGUUUACUCUGUAUGCAGGACAGGGCGAUGAGCCUUGCGCGCGGCUGGUUCCACGAUCUGUACAACAUCUUGAGGCCGUCCGUUACCGGAUACAGCAAACGUCAACCAUUAAAAUAGGUCUGCGAGUCCAUGCAACGUGCGGAAACGUCAGUAGGGCACAAGAAAUAGCGUACAACAUCUCACAAAUGUUGGGAGACCCAUAUUCGAAGUCUAUUG